rnacentral:rRNA from 1 species
AGCGGCGGAUGGGUGAGUAACACGUGGGGAACCUGCCCCUAAGUCUGGGAUACCAUUUGGAAACAGGUGCUAAUACCGGAUAAUAAAGCAGAUCGCAUGAUCAGCUUUUGAAAGGCGGCGUAAGCUGUCGCUAAGGGAUGGCCCCGCGGUGCAUUAGCUAGUUGGUAAGGUAACGGCUUACCAAGGCGACGAUGCAUAGCCGAGUUGAGAGACUGAUCGGCCACAUUGGGACUGAGACACGGCCCAAACUCCUACGGGAGGCAGCAGUAGGGAAUCUUCCACAAUGGACGCAAGUCUGAUGGAGCAACGCCGCGUGAGUGAAGAAGGUUUUCGGAUCGUAAAGCUCUGUUGUUGGUGAAGAAGGAUAGAGGUAGUAACUGGCCUUUAUUUGACGGUAAUCAACCAGAAAGUCACGGCUAACUACGUGCCAGCAGCCGCGGUAAUACGUAGGUGGCAAGCGUUGUCCGGAUUUAUUGGGCGUAAAGCGAGCGCAGGCGGAAAAAUAAGUCUAAUGUGAAAGCCCUCGGCUUAACCGAGGAACUGCAUCGGAAACUGUUUUUCUUGAGUGCAGAAGAGGAGAGUGGAACUCCAUGUGUAGCGGUGGAAUGCGUAGAUAUAUGGAAGAACACCAGUGGCGAACGCGGCUCUCUGGUCUGCAACUGACGCUGAGGCUCGAAAGCAUGGGUAGCGAACAG